rfam:Triticum aestivum genome assembly, contig: Triticum_aestivum_CS42_TGACv1_scaffold_560727_7AL
CAACUACUCCCUCUGUCCCAAAUUUCUUGUCUUAGUUUUGUCUAGAUACGGAUGGAUCUAAUAGUAAAAUGUGACUUGAUACAUCUGUAUCUAGACAAAUCUAAGAUAAGAAUUUUGGGACGAAGGGAGUACUUU